GGGUCUGUAGCUCAGCUGGUUAGAGCGCACCCCUGAUAAGGGUGAGGUCGGAGGUUCAAGUCCUCCCAGACCCACCA
rnacentral:tRNA from 3 species